CCCACACUGACUUGGUGAACAUGCAGGGAAAUGAUCAGAGGAGCAGGAAAUAACCACAUUGGCCAUCAUCAGUGGUACACAAUGGACUGCAGAAUGCACAAAUGGAAGCACAGGAUGCAGCACAGUACCUCUGCUUUGACUGAACCUCCAUUUGCAUUCAGCACAAACACUGUGGCACACAGACACUCCCCCAGCAACUCAAAGCAGCUAAAAUGCCCUGGCUCCUGCUUGAACAGCUCCUGAACUGACAAAUACAAUGUUCUUGGACCAGCUAUGAAGCAAAUCCUGUUCUUGAGAGGCUGGUUCUGUAACAGACUUUGGAGAAAAAUCCAGACAAAAUUAGCAGCCGCCUUUUACCUUCCAUUAAAUAAAGAAAUGCUGAAGUAAGCAAGUUUUAUCACAGCAGUUCUGAGGAUCCCAGUGGCACAAACAUGCGUGUGCAUCUCACGUUACAGAUGGCUUUCAUCUCCGCGAGAGCAUCAUU